GUCUCAUUGCAGCUCUCGGUUAUCUAUCCCAUUGCACCCCGUUACCUCCUACACUAACCCAAGUCCAGGUACAAUUCUAAUCACUCUCAUCUUUCACAAUGUUCCUUAACGUUUAAUUGUAUCUUGUAUAAUCAAGAAAUCCCAUUUUGUGGCUUAGACUAGGAAUCUCCAAUCUUGUUUUUCAAUUAUGCUAUGAUCAAGGUGUAUCAGUCAUAUGAUUUGCUGAAUUUUGUUUGAGUCGAAGUUUGGUUUGAUAAUGUGUAUUUGAUUUCGACAAUUAUAAUUGAUCAUGGUUGUGCAAUCUCAAUUGCAACUGUAGGAACUUUAACAAUAUAUUUGAAAAUUAAGUUUGAAAACAUGUGUAUUCUUGCAAAUUUCCCUAUUCUUAAUUUGAAUAUGUAACUA
rnacentral:lncRNA from 1 species